AGUGAACGCUGGCGGUAGGCCUAGCACAUGCAAGUCGAACGGCAGCACAGGAGAGCUUGCUCUCUGGGUGGCGAGUGCCGGACGGGUGAGGAAUACAUCGGAAUCUACUCUUUCGUGGGGGAUAACGUAGGGAAGCUUACGCUAAUACCGCAUACGACCUACGGGUGAAAGCAGGGGAUCUUCGGACCUUGCGCGAGUGAAUGAGCCGAUGUCGGAUUAGCUAGUUGGCGGGGUAAAGGCCCACCAAGGCGACGAUCCGUAGCUGGUCUGAGAGGAUGAUCAGCCACACUGGAACUGAGACACGGUCCAGACUCCUACGGGAGGCAGCAGUGGGGAAUAUUGGACAAUGGGCGCAAGCCUGAUCCAGCCAUACCGCGUGGGUGAAGAAGGCCUUCGGGUUGUAAAGCCCUUUUGUUGGGAAAGAAAUCCAGCUGGUUAAUACCCGGUUGGGAUGACGGUACCCAAAGAAUAAGCACCAGCUAACUUCGUGCCAGCAGCCGCCGUAA
rnacentral:rRNA from 1 species